CAAGUGACAGAUUUGAAACUAGCAUUAUGGAGAAUUAACUGUUAUGGCUGAAGAGAGACUUAUUGAGAUGAGAGUCACUAGUCCAUGUAAAAACUCCAUUUGAAGAUGAGCUGUAUUGCUGCUAUAUAUGAAAACUCUGCAGGUCAAUCAAUUUUGGCUCUGGCAGCUUCAUUAUGAGAAGUGCUAAUUUGGGUAACAUUUGGAAGCAGUCCCAGAGUGAAAUGCACCUUUCCAAGGGGUAAAUAUCAAUAAUCUGCCCUUGAGGUUGACCACUGAAAUAUUAAAAUGUUUUGCUCUCUA